rnacentral:sRNA from 1 species
CACUAUGGCGUCCAACUAGCUUAAGUUUUAACCGUCUGGCGUCUAUAUUUAUAAUUUAACUCAUCAGUGAGUUAACGGUUACUCAAUAAGAACAAAAGUUUCUUAAAAUUAUCAUUAUUCGUGAUGAAAGAUCGUAUACUUCAUUUGAAGAUGAUGUAAGAAUAAGCAAAUCUCAAGUUUAAAUAAAUAAAAUGGAUUUAAACCCUGCACUCUCAGCAAGGUCUACUCCAUCAGCUCGAAAAUUAAUCAAACAGUCAGGUAGCCUUGAGAUAAUAAAAGGGGAUGCUAACACUGUGACAGCUUGCCAAAGUUCAAGUACUGGUUGUUUUAGCUCUGAUGCAUCAUCACGACCAUGGU